AGUGAACGCUGGCGGUAGGCCUAACACAUGCAAGUCGAACGGCAGCACAGUAAGAGCUUGCUCUUACGGGUGGCGAGUGGCGGACGGGUGAGGAAUACAUCGGAAUCUACUUUUUCGUGGGGGAUAACGUAGGGAAACUUACGCUAAUACCGCAUACGACCUACGGGUGAAAGCAGGGGAUCUUCGGACCUUGCGCGAUUGAAUGAGCCGAUGUCGGAUUAGCUAGUUGGCGGGGUAAAGGCCCACCAAGGCGACGAUCCGUAGCUGGUCUGAGAGGACGAUCAGCCACACUGGAACUGAGACACGGUCCAGACUCCUACGGGAGGCAGCAGUGGGGAAUCUUGGACAAUGGGCGCAAGCCUGAUCCAGCCAUACCGCGUGGGUGAAGAAGGCCUUCGGGUUGUAAAGCCCUUUUGUUGGGAAAGAAAAGCAGCAGGUUAAUACCCCGCUGUUCUGACGGUACCCAAAGAAUAAGCAACGGCUAACUUCGUG
rnacentral:rRNA from 1 species